rnacentral:rRNA from 1 species
GAUGAACGCUAGCGACAGGCCUAACACAUGCAAGUCGAGGGGCAGCGAGGAUGUAGCAAUACAUUUGUCGGCGACCGGCGCACGGGUGAGUAACGCGUAUGCAACCUACCCGACACAGGGGGAUAACCCGAAGAAAUUCGGACUAAUACCGCAUAAAACAGGGGUCCCGCAUGGGAAUAUUUGUUAAAGAAUUAUCGGUGUCGGAUGGGCAUGCGUUCCAUUAGCUUGUUGGUGAGGUAACGGCUCACCAAGGCGACUAUCGGUAGGGGUUCAGAGAGGAAGGUCCCCCACACUGGUACUGAGAAACGGACCAGACUCCUCCGGGAGGCAGCAGUGAGGAAUAUUGGUCAAUGGGCGAAAGCCUGAACCAGCCAAGUCGCGUGAAGGACGACGGUCCUAUGGAUUGUAAACUUCUUUUGUCGGGGAGUAAAGGCAGUUACGUGUAGCUGUUUGCAAGUACCCGAAGAAAAAGCAUCGGCUAACUCCGUGCCAGCAGCCGCAGUAAUA